rnacentral:lncRNA from 1 species
AAAACGGCCCCACCUUUAUCUCCCUUGGCUGACUCUCUUUUCGGACUCAGCCCACCUGCACCCAGGUGAAAUAAACAGCCAUGUUGCUCACACAAA